AAUUAAAAUUUUAAAUAAAUUAUUAAAGAAACACAAAAAAAUCCUAAAUAAAUCUUAAUUUGAAUCAUAAUUAAAUCUUAAAAAAUCCUAAAUAAAUUCUAAUUAAAUCUUAGACAAAUUUAAAUCAAAUUUUGAACAAAUUCUAAUCAAAUCCUAGACAAAUAUUAGACAAAUAUUAAUAAAAUUUUAGAAAAAUCCUAAUCAAAUCCUAAAAAAAUUCUAGACAAAUCUUAGAUAAAUCCUAGAUAAAUCCUACUCAAAUCCUAGAUCCUAAACUAAUCUUAAAUUUUAAAUAAAUUCUUAAUAAAUGCAAUGGUAUAUUAAAACUUCCAUAACUAAUAAUCAAACUAUUUAUUUUAAUUCAAAUUUUUCACACCUUUCAAUAAUUAAGCUAGAAAUAAGCACAAAUAUUUUUAAGAAGAUCAAACAUACCAAAUAGAAGAUAAAUUCUAAAAUAUGCGUGGAUGUUAGUUGGCAUUCUUCUUC
rnacentral:lncRNA from 1 species